AUUGAACGCUGGCGGCAGGCCUAACACAUGCAAGUCGAACGAGUGGCGGACGGGUGAGUAAUGUCUGGGAAACUGCCUGCUGGAGGGGGAUAACUACUGGAAACGGUAGCUAAUACCGCAUACCACCCGAUGUGCUCUGAUGGGAUUAGCUAGUUGGUGGGGUAACGGCUCACAAAGGCGACGAUCCCUAGCUGGUCUGAGAGGGUGACCGGCCACACUGGAACUGAGACACGGUCCAGACUCCUACGGGAGGAAGCAGUGGGGAAUAUUGCGCAAUGGGCGCAAGCCUGAUGCAGCCAUGCCGCGGGUAUGAAGAAGGCCUUCGGGUUGUAAAGUACUGUCAGCAGAGAGGCGGUACCCACAGAAGAAGCACCGGCUAACUCCGUGCCAGCAGCCGCGGUAAUAC
rnacentral:rRNA from 1 species